rnacentral:misc_RNA from 1 species
UGUCGCUAAGGGCAAGUGAUUUAAGCAUGUACAUAUGUGUUAUUUAUGUUUCAUAUAAUUUUUUGGAAUGCACUUCGGAUACUCUAGUGCACGUUUCCAGUGUUUUGAACGACGCUUUUUUAUUUUCCUUUUUCUAAGUGAACAGUUAUUACUCUAUUCGGAAGAAUCGAAGAAAGACGGUUCUAUGUUAUGAAAUUAGCCUUUGUUUUCAUGAUUCCCGGCUCUGUUGGAACACACUGAACACGGAAACGAGCGAGGAAUAUUAUCCAUAAAUUGGACGGAAGAAUUUUUAGUUGAAAAUGAAAUAUCGUCGGCGUGUGCUUCUUCAGCAUGUCACAAAGGAUAAACUUCCAACAUAUUUCCUUGUACGAUCAGAACGUUGUCCACCGGAAGCAUCGAAACAAAUAAUCUCAAGAUGCACUGCACCAUUUAGUUUGUUGCAACCUGAAUUCGGUAUUUAUAAUGUCUACCUCGAAUAAGGGAACCAAGCAUCAUUAGAGUAGCAAAUAGCUUUCAAAAAAUUGCCACAGGACCGUCAGGUGUACAGAUACGUUUUUAAAUUCCGUCGUUUACGAAGCUUUGAAGAUAAAAUUUCAAACAUUAUAUUUGUAUAUUCCACAAUUCGCAAGAUAGGAGAUGAACAUCAACAACGUCCAUAUGAGGCUAUCGCAGGCAACGUGCAGCAGACCAUUGAAGGCGUGAAUUAAAAUUUGUUGACUGUAGAUGAAGCUAUAGGUGGCCGUCGAAGUAUGGUUCCAAGGUAACCACAUUCGAAACGCUAGCUUGUGAUGUUCGCCUUUGUACAAUGCACCGAGCAAUGUUAACACCGACAUUACCACCACUGACGAUUCAACUAGAAGUGCGUAAUAAAACGCGUUCGAUCUGUGGCGAUUCGUAAGGCGAUAG